UAAUAAGUGUUUUAUUGGCACUUUUUAAAUCCAUAUCCACCUUGUGUGCAAUGUCAGUCGAUCUUACUUCAUGGAGAGAGAUCGACCAAACAUCACCUUUAUCUUUAACUCUUUGCCUGAAAAAAUAUUAUGAAUAAACAAUUCAAAAUA
rnacentral:misc_RNA from 1 species